AGUGAACGCUGGCGGUAGGCCUAACACAUGCAAGUCGAACGGCAGCACAGUAAGAGCUUGCUCUUACGGGUGGCGAGUGGCGGACGGGUGAGGAAUACAUCGGAAUCUACUUUUUCGUGGGGGAUAACGUAGGGAAACUUACGCUAAUACCGCAUACGACCUACGGGUGAAAGUAGGGGAUCUUCGGACCUUGCGCGAUUGAAUGAGCCGAUGUCGGAUUAGCUAGUUGGCGGGGUAAAGGCCCACCAAGGCGACGAUCCGUAGCUGGUCUGAGAGGAUGAUCAGCCACACUGGAACUGAGACACGGUCCAGACUCCUACGGGAGGCAGCAGUGGGGAAUAUUGGACAAUGGGCGCAAGCCUGAUCCAGCCAUGCCGCGUGGGUGAAGAAGGCCUUCGGGUUGUAAAGCCCUUUUGUUGGGAAAGAAAAGCAGCAGGUUAAUACCCCGCUGUUCUGACGGUACCCAAAGAAUAAGCACCGGCUAACUUCGUG
rnacentral:rRNA from 1 species